GCUUUUCUCCCCUUUGCAGAGUUUAUCCUUAAUAUGUUCAUCCUAACUAGUGACGGAUAUCCUCUUUGUGGUAUUCUAUCCAGUAACUGAUAGAUGUAAUCCCUAUUCUCCCUCUCGGAGUCUAUCCUUGAUAUGUUCAUCUUAACCGGCGACGGAUAUUGUCCUUAAUGGUAUUCUAUCCAGCAUUCGAUAGAUGUAAUUCCUAUUCUUUUUGUUCAUAUGAUUUAUCCUUGAUAUGUUCAUCCUAACCGAUUAUGG
rnacentral:lncRNA from 1 species